UACGGAAGGCAGCAGUGGGGAAUAUUGCACAAUGGGCGAAAGCCUGAUGCAGCUAUGCCGCGUGUAUGAAGAAGGCCUUAGGGUUGUAAAGUACUUUCAUCGGGGAGGAAAAACAAAACUAAUAAUUUUAUUUCUUGACGUUACCCGAAAAAGAAGCACCGGCUAACUCCGUGCCAGCAGCCGCGGUAAUACGGAGGGUGCUAGCGUUAAUCAGAAUUACUGGGCGUAAAGAGCACGUAGGUGGUUUUUUUAAGUCAGAUGUGAAAUCCCUGGGCUUAACCUAGGAACUGCAUUUUGAAACUGAAAUACUAGAGUAUCGUAGAGGGAGGUAGAAUUCUAGGUGUAGCGGUGAAAUGCGUAGAUAUCUGGAGGAAUACCUGUGGUGAAAGCGGCCUCCUAAACGAAUACUGACACUGAGGUGCGAAAGCGUGGGGAGCAAACAGGGAUUAGAUACC
rnacentral:rRNA from 1 species